CACCCGAAUCGUCUAUGAUUUUAAGAUUCUGUUUCCAUCGGAUUGCUUCGUGUUUCAUGUUCAAUGAUAAUCAUUCAAUGCCGCUAAACAUUUCGUUGGAGCAGGCAUUGACAAAUCCCGUGUCUGAUAACGUCAGCUGAGGGUGGCAGCGUGAUUGGUUCACGGUGAUGGCGAAUACCCCCGAUGCUUUACACAAACCAUUAGCUACAUCUUUGACGCAGCGGCAUUCUGCUCGAGUUCUAGAAUUUUACGUAUGAGCUCACUAUUCACAAUAGGAGUUGUCCACGUCUUCCUAAAGUAAAAAGAUCAAGAGUUAAAAUUUCCAAUGACAAUAAAAAUAAUGUAUAUACCUUAUUCAAUCAUGUGAUCCUUUGUACAUAAUAAUUUUGUUUGUUUUGUUUUUUAUAUAAAAUUUUUCUUUCACGAACAGGAUGGUCGGAGGCUCGGAGCUGAUCUUCUAUUUCAGCCUUACCUUUUUCGUUUCACAUUUUCAAGGCUUCUUGUUAAAGUAAAAAGCUUCUGUAAACUGUAUUGAUUUUCCAAUUCUGUGUAUAGAAGGAUGUGAAACAUACAAAGUUAUGUAGACAUAUCUAUAG